rnacentral:rRNA from 1 species
CCUACGGGUGGCUGCAGUGGGGGGUAUUGCACAAUGGGCGGAAGCCUGAUGCAGCGACGUCGCGUGAGGGAUGGAGGCCUUCGGGUUGUGAACCUCUUUCGCCGGUGAAGAAGGUCCUGCUCUUUGUGGUGGGGUUGACGGUAGCCGGGUUAUGAAGCGCCGGCUAACUACGUGCCAGCAGCCGCGGUAAUACGUAGGGCGCGGGCGUUGUCCGGAAUUAUUGGGCGUAAAGGGCUUGUAGGCGGCUGGUCGCGUCUGCCGUGAAAUCCUCUGGCUCAGCUGGGGGCGUGCGGUGGGUACGGGCUGGCUUGAGUGCGGUAGGGGAGGCUGGAACUCCUGGUGUAGCGGUGGAAUGCGCAGAUAUCAGGAGGAACACCGGUGGCGAAGGCGGGUCUCUGGGCCGUUACUGACGCUGAGGAGCGAAAGCGUGGGGAGCGAACAGGAUUAGAUACCCUUGUAGUC